GACGAGCGCUGGUGGCGUGCUUAACACAUGCAAGUCGAACGGUGAAGCCCAGCUUGCUGGGUGGAUCAGUGGCGAACGGGUGAGUAACACGUGAGCAACCUGCCCCCUACUUCGGGAUAAGCCUUGGAAACGAGGUCUAAUACCGGAUAUGAGCACUUACCGCAUGGUGGGUGUUGGAAAGUUUUUCGGUGGGGGAUGGG
rnacentral:rRNA from 1 species